AACGACUCUCGACAACGGAUAUCUCGGCUCUCGCAUCGAUGAAGAACGUAGCGAAAUGCGAUACUUGGUGUGAAUUGCAGAAUCCCGUGAACCAUCGAGUCUUUGAACGCAAGUUGCGCCCGAAGCCAAUAGGCCGAGGGCACGUUUGCCUGGGUGUCAUGC
rnacentral:rRNA from 3 species